rnacentral:rRNA from 1 species
AGGACGAACGCUGGCGGCGUGCUUAACACAUGCAAGUCGAGCGGAAAGGCCCUUCCGGGGUACUCGAGCGGCGAACGGGUGAGUAACACGUGGGCAACCUGCCCUUAGCUCUGGGAUAGCUCCGGGAAACCGGAAUUAAUACCGGAGUAUGACCUAGGCCGACAUCGGCCGUGGUGGAAAGUUUUUCGGCUAGGGAUGGACUCGCGGCCUAUCAGCUAGUUGGUGGGGUAAUGGCCUACCAAGGCGACGACGGGUAG